AAAAAAGCAAGUUCAGAGAGACCGAGAGAGAAUCCAUAAGAGCUAAUAGCGAACGAGGGAGAGCCAUCCAGAAAGCUGGAAGGGAAAAAGCAAAACAGGCGGUGAUUCCUCCAGGGGGAAGUUAGACAAUCCUCACUUGACAAUUUCUUAGGCGUCAUCAAUAAUGUCGUUGUCAGGUUCCUUCGCUCGUCCUCACAUCUGUUUAGCUACACCUCUUUAUUAUUUUCAUUACUGAUUUUGAUUGUUUUAGUUGUUGAAUGCGAUUACCGUUGUUACUUUUCAGUUUUCGUUUCUUUUUUGGUGGGAUUUUCAUUUUGUUUACGGGGUUAUUCUUGUUCUCUUGUUGUUUUGAUUUUGGUGGGCGCUUAUCGAUUUUGAGAGAUCUGCAGGUUUCUUUUUGGGUUUUGGUUGUUCGUUCAUAUAUUGCUGAAUCCCCCCCUCUUAAUUUUGAUUUUGAUAUAAUGGUGUAUGGAUAUUUACAAAUUUCAAUCAUGGUGAAGGAGAAAUGGAUGAGGAAAAAUGGAUGAGGAAACAGAGCAGUAGAGAGAGAGAACAGAGGGAGAGAGAAGAUAAGGAGAAAUGAAUUAUAUAAAAUUAUUUUUAAUUAAUUAAAUUUUUUUAACAAAUAUUAAAUUAGAAAGAGUGCGGUAAUAAAAAAAUUCGAGCUUAUAGCUUGUACGAGGAUCAAUUAAAGGUUUAACAACCAGUAGAUUAAAGAUUGUGCGUUUAUUGUAUCCAUUUUAAUUAAUUUUGUAUAAAUUUUUAUAUAAUAUUAAGUUCGUUUUUUAUAUGACGACUUGUAUUAGAUGCACUAAUUCGUUUGUCGCUAUAAAAUUAUGAAGAUUUAUUAUAUUAAAAUUUAAAAAUUUGCUCUCUGAUAUUGUUCUUUCAACUUAAGCUAAGUUCUUCUUUCCAGUUCCAAUCCACUGCUGACUUGCUUAACAGGCACUGCACUGAGGCAUAUUCCCUUCCUAGGAAAUGAAUAGUAGGCUCUUCAAGGGACUGCAUUCCUGUUUGAACCAAACCAUUUUUUUCUCAUAUGAAAGAAGCUUAACCCUAGGUUCACAUACCUGUAAGUUUAUUUGUGAAUGAAGUAUUUUUGAGAUUUAAUAAUAA
rnacentral:misc_RNA from 1 species